GCAUGCUCCUCGCUCGCGUAUGUGCCCAAUAUAGAGUUAGACGGUAGCAUUGCACCUGAUUGGCCCAGAAGCGGGGGACAACAUUUGGAAACAGAUGCUAAUACCGCAUAACAGCGUUGUUCGCAUGAACAACGCUUAAAAGAUGGCUUCUCGCUAGCAUUAGCUUGUUGGUGGGGUAACGGCCUACCAAGGCGAUGAUGCAUAGCCGAGUUGAGAGACUGAUCGGCCACAAUGGGACUGAGACACGGCCCAUACUCCUACGGGAGGCAGCAGUAGGGAAUCUUCCACAAUGGGCGCAAGCCUGAUGGAGCAACACCGCGUGAGUGAAGAAGGGUUUCGGCUCGUAAAGCUCUGUUGUUAAAGAAGAACACGUAUGAGAGUAACUGUUCAUACGUUGACGGUAUUUAACCAGAAAGUCACGGCUAACUACGUGCCAGCAGCCGCGGUAAUACGUAGGUGGCAAGCGUUAUCCGGAUUUAUUGGGCGUAAAGAGAGUGCAGGCGGUUUUCUAAGUCUGAUGUGAAAGCCUUCGGCUUAACCCGGAAGAAGUGCAUCGGAAACUGGAUAACUUGAGUGCAGAAGAGGGUAGUGGAACUCCCAUGUGUAGCGGUGGAAUGCGUAGAUAUAUGGAAGAACACCAGUGGCGAAGGCGGCUACCUGGUCUGCAACUGACGCUGAGACUCGAAAGCAUGGGUAGCGAACAGGAUUAGAUACCCUGGUAGUCCAUGCCGUAAACGAUGAGUGCUAGGUGUUGGAGGGUUUCCGCCCUUCAGUGCCGGAGCUAACGCAUUAAGCACUCCGCCUGGGGAGUACGACCGCAAGGUUGAAACUCAAAGGAAUUGACGGGGGCCCGCACAAGCGGUGGAGCAUGUGGUUUAAUUCGAAGCUACGCGAAGAACCUUACCAGGUCUUGACAUCUUGCGCCAACCCUAGAGAUAGGGCGUUUCCUUCGGGAACGCAAUGACAGGUGGUGCAUGGUCGUCGUCAGCUCGUGUCGUGAGAUGUUGGGUUAAGUCCCGCAACGAGCGCAACCCUUGUUACUAGUUGCCAGCAUUAAGUUGGGCACUCUAGUGAGACUGCCGGUGACAAACCGGAGGAAGGUGGGGACGACGUCAGAUCAUCAUGCCCCUUAUGACCUGGGCUACACACGUGCUACAAUGGACGGUACAACGAGUCGCGAACUCGCGAGGGCAAGCAAAUCUCUUAAAACCGUUCUCAGUUCGGACUGCAGGCUGCAACUCGCCUGCACGAAGUCGGAAUCGCUAGUAAUCGCGGAUCAGCAUGCCGCGGUGAAUACGUUCCCGGGCCUUGUACACCCCGCCCGUCACACCAUAACAGUUUAACCAUCCAAUGUCUCUGGGGUCAGGAAGUGGUGCCAAGGUAACAGUAGAG
rnacentral:rRNA from 2 species